rnacentral:tRNA from 2 species
GGACUUAUAGCUCAGUUGGUUAGAGCGCUACAUUGACAUUGUAGAGGUCAGUGGUUCGAAUCCACUUAAGUCCA